AGCGAACGCUGGCGGCAGGCCUAACACAUGCAAGUCGAACGAACUCUUCGGAGUUAGUGGCGGACGGGUGAGUAACACGUGGGAACGUGCCUUUUGGUUCGGAAUAACUCAGGGAAACUUGUGCUAAUACCGAAUGUGCCCUUCGGGGGAAAGAUUUAUCGCCAUUAGAGCGGCCCGCGUCUGAUUAGCUAGUUGGUGAGGUAACGGCUCACCAAGGCGACGAUCAGUAGCUGGUCUGAGAGGAUGACCAGCCACACUGGGACUGAGACACGGCCCAGACGCGGAGGGGAGGCAGCAGGACGGAAUAGUGCGCAACGGGCGAAAGCUGGACAGGGCAACGCCGCGGGAGUGAUGAAGGUCUUCCUACCGUAGAACUCAGCUAUGAGGGAAGAACAAAUGCGUAAGGAACGCUUCACGUCUGGACGGGAGCUAAGAAGAAAACCACGCCUAACUACGGG
rnacentral:rRNA from 1 species